rnacentral:tRNA from 1 species
GGAAGAGAAACAUCCCUGGUGGGAUGCCCGGACUUCAAAUCCGGCGGAAGGCGUCUUGCGUCUUCGGUGGGUUCGAUUCCCGCCUCUUCC